rnacentral:tRNA from 1 species
GGGAUGGAGCAGCCCGGUAGCUCGUCAGGCUCAUAACCUGAAGGUCGUAGGUUCAAAAUCCCUAACUCCC